rnacentral:tRNA from 1 species
GGGCCCGUAGCUCAGUGGUAGAGCGGUCGGCUCAUAACCGAUUGGUCGUAGGUUCGAUCCCUGCCGAGCCCACCA